rnacentral:rRNA from 1 species
UACGUAGGGGGCAAGCGUUGUCCGGAUUUAUUGGGCGUAAAGAGCGUGUAGGCGGCCUGGAAGGUCAGCUGUGAAAACUCGAGGCUCAACCUCGAGACGUCGGUUGAAACCACCUGGCUAGAGUCCGGAAGAGGAGUGUGGAAUUCCCGGUGUAGCGGUGGAAUGCGCAGAUAUCGGGAGGAACACCCGUGGCGAAGGCGACUUCUUGGCCUGUUCUUGACGCUGAGGCGCGAAAGCUGGGGGAGCAAACGGG